rnacentral:rRNA from 1 species
GAUGAACGCUGGCGGCGUGCCUAAUACAUGCAAGUCGAGCGAACGGACGAGAAGCUUGCUUCUCUGAUGUUAGCGGCGGACGGGUGAGUAACACGUGGAUAACCUACCUAUAAGACUGGGAUAACUUCGGGAAACCGGAGCUAAUACCGGAUGAUAUUUUGAACCGCAUGGUUCAAAAGUGAAAGACGGUCUUGCUGUCACUUAUAGAUGGAUCCGCGCUGCAUUAGCUAGUUGGUAAGGUAACGGCUUACCAAGGCAACGAUGCAUAGCCGACCUGAGAGGGUGAUCGGCCACACUGGAACUGAGACACGGUCCAGACUCCUACGGGAGGCAGCAGUAGGGAAUCUUCCGCAAAGGGCGAAAGCCUGACGGAGCAACGCCGCGUGAGUGAUGAAGGUUUUCGGAUCGUAAAACUCUGUUAUUAGGGAAGAACAUAUGUGUAAGUAACUGUGCACAUCUUGACGGUACCUAAUCAGAAAGCCACGGCUAACUACGUG